AGCUUAUGCUCAAAUACAUUUGUUUGUCUCUAAGGUGCCACUAGUACUCCUUUUCUUUUUACCAUCAUGUGUGUCUCAAAUUCCCCUCCCCUCUCUUGUUAGUACUACAAACCGUAUUUGGAGUCUUUUGUCCCCAGCUGAAGGCCAUUGACCUGUUGUUGGGGUGAAGAGCAAGGGGAAAUAGGCUCUUUUUCUCCUUUUGGUCUCUUCACUUCUUGCCUCCUAGUCACUUCUCUUCUUGAAUCUUCCAUCCCAUUGCCUCUUAGGGAGAAUCUACCCUCACUUGGUCUCUCACUACUCUUUCUCCUUGAGAUCUGAACAAUUUCCUUCCUGUCCUAAUUAUGCUCUUCAUUCUCAGCUUCAACCUCCAGGACCCUUUGACUCUCAGUCUGUCCCAGCAUUCCCUAUGCCAUACUUCUUCCAUCCCUCAACUUCUAACUCUUUGAGGUUUCUCACUGUCCCAGAUUUUCAGAAGAUGUUCCCCUGGGUCACAACCUAGGGUUGAGCAGCUGCUUCUUCUACUCUCCCGAGUUUGUAAUGAGACAGUUAAAAGGGAGAGAAAGUGGCAGCAACAAGUUGGCUUCUCCAUCAGAAGGAUUUAAAAAACAACACAAAAAACCCUAAAGAUCCUGCUAAGUGAAGCCAGACUGAGCAAGCAGUGCCAGAGUGAUGGGACUUCCACCAUGUACUCCUACUUCUGGAUGCAAAGAUCUCAGUGUUGCCAACUCCUGUGAUUGUAUCAUGUGUCUCAUGAUAUUUGGUGUUUUCUUGAACCCUCAGCUGCUAGUUUUAUGUAAUUAGAUGAAAAUCUCAGCUUUAAUUAGAGAAAGUAAGUUUUUAAUCCUCAUAGUUGUGGAGAAAAGCUAGAAAAAGUUACCCAAGUGCAUCCUAAAGAUUCAGGAACCAGAAGGUAAAUACAAAGAACAUAGAAUUUGUUAUUCAAAAAAACACUCAUGAUUUUUAAUAUAAUCUCAUGAAUUUUUGGGGCCUAACGCAUUUUUUGAAUACUUGGGGUUGUCAAUACUGAGAUCACUGUUUCAGUUUCUUAUUUUAAACACACACAAGAUAAACAUUACAUGAAAGACUAUUACUGUAUCUUGGUUACCUUCCUGCGCUCCACACACUAGGCUUUGUGUGUUAGUGUGUUGUGAGAAUGCACUUAUGCGUUAACCAUUUUAAUUAUCCAGUUAGCAUUUAUGCAUUAAUACACCUUUGUACAUGGUUAAAUAGGGCAAGGAAGGCGAGAAAAGGAAAUUUUGAUGAGCGCAUGCUUUAGCGGAGAUGAAAUUUCCAUUAUGAUUAUUGAUGUUAUAGUGAUGAUUAAAUGAAGUAGUCAUUUAAGCUCUCUCUUCAGUCCCCUUUUUGUAUGCAGAAAUGUUUAGAAAUUUUCUCCUUUUAAAAAUACUAUUUAGAAAUAUUUUAAUUUAUAAAUAGUUUACUCUGCAAAUGUUUAUGCAAUAUUAAGUUUUUGGUUUUAGUGGCACCACAUUUAGAAAAGCCACUUAAGCAGAGCUGAUUGACAUUUUUGUAAUGAUUUUUUUCGUCAAAAAAGGGCCUUUAUUUAAAAAAAAAAAAAAAAGAUUUAAAGCAAAUUUUGCUCAAUUAAAACUGAAAAUGUUUCCCCCUUUCUUCGGCUUUUAUCCUUCUGCAGACUCCAUUUUCCAGUGGCAAAAUUGGAAAGGGGGUGGGGGGUUAAAAGGAGAAAUGAAAAGCUGAACAUUUUUAGUACAAAAAAUAAAUUGAACCCCCCCAUUAGUUUUUUUUAAACUUCUAAACAAAACCAAACAUUUUAAACUUUUUUGAAAAUUUUUGUGAAAUGUUUAUAUUUCAACAAGCUUUAAUUUAAAGAUUCAUGAAGGAACAAUUAACCUGAACACUGUUGUGAUUUUUUGUGUAAGGGACUAUCUAUCAAAAGACAAGCUGGUUUAGGUGUCAAGAUAGAUACCCAAGGGGACUAUCUGUGGCUCCAUGUUAAGAUGUUUAUAGUGCAUGAGGAGUUCACACUUGAUGCUUGGUGAAAUCUAAGUAUAGAACUCACAAGCAGUUUAGGGUUUGUGCCCUAUUUUGUAACAGUCUUCCCUGAUUUUGGUACUCCCACCCUUGAGCCACUCCAGACAGCUUGACAAGGUCUUUCUAUUAGAUUGCUGGUAGGUAGACCCAUAGCAAUCAGUGCAUUCCACUCUCCAGUGGUUGGCUAUUCUAUUUCUAUUUACCCAGAAACAGCCAGAUUUCUAAAGGGUCUGACUAGGACCUUCCCACUAGUAGUGAAGCCAACAGCACAGUGGGACAUCAGUCUUUUACUUCCAGUACUCCCAGGCAACCUUUCAAACUGCUGACCACAUGCUUGAUGUCUCACUGGUCCAUAAAGGUUGCCUAAUCCUGGUUACCACUACCUAAGCCAGAGUGGUGGGUCAGGGAUGUAGGCAAUACCGUUGUUGUGAAAAAUGCUAUAUCUAUGCAAAGGAUUUUAUCAGGUUUUCUGUAAGCGUAUUAUGGUUUGCGUAAAGAUUUCCUCAUGCUUUGGUUAUGGAUCUUUUUCAUGCCUCGUGCAAUGAUUUUAUGAAAUUUUCAAAUAUCAUAACACUUUAAAUACAUUUUUAUUAAAUAAUAACCAAGUUAUAAGUAAGAAGAAUGUUUGUUGAACAUGACAUGGUGCAAAGUUUAAAAAGUAGGGCAAAAUUUAAAAAUAACUAAAGUGCUGAGUGACGCAUGUUUGUGCAGAUGAGGUCACAAACUUAUGUCGGUUCUCUGUGUAUUGGGGUGUGGGAUGGUGAGAGAGGGGCUUGCCCCUUGUAGUUGUCCUAGUAUUCACUGUUCACCAGUCCACACAACAAGGAGAAGGAAGGACCUGUAACUUGGAGUUGGAGAAGCGGGGUGUCCCCCAGUGCGAAGAGCUCUCAGAGGGCUGCAGGACAUGGGUAGGUUAGGGUGGUGCCGUGAACGUAAGACCACUUUGUUCUGCAGCAGGAUUGUCUGCUGUGGCCCUUGACGGUUCCCUGUUUGCCUCUUUCUCCUUUGCAUCAUGAGAAGGAAACUUUCCCUACACUUUUCUGUCGUCUUCUCCCUCUGCUGGGAUGCAGCCACAAGGUCACCAAAUGUGUCAUCCCCUUAUUCUCUCUCCCUUCCCUCACACUUGCUAUUCAUUCCCCUGAUGAUAGCACCCCGGUUGUUAGAGACCAUGACAUGCCAGGUGCUAAGGGAGUGGACAGAGUAAAAGCACAAUGCUGCUAUUUUCAGUGGAGUGAGGGAAAUGCUGCAAUCAGCCAGGAAGGAGAAGGAGCAAUUAGCAGUAUGGGAAGGGGAUGCCCAGCAUAUUUGGUCAAUGUUUGUAGGAUUUGAUAUUUUGGAGAAAUAAAUGCCUUAGAUUCUCAGGAGACUCCAGGCACAAGCACAACUUUCUAUUGGUAUGUCGGCGGGCAGCAACUGAUCCAGCCGGGAUCGAUUUAUCGUGUCUAGAUGUGAUAAAUCGACCCCCGAGUGCUCUCCUGUCAACAUGGUGACCAGAUGAAAUGGACAAAAUAUUGGGACAGAUGGGGGAAGCAAAAAAAAAAAAAAAAAGUGGCCGGAGCUGAGUUGCUGAAGCCAAAAAAAAGCGGCUGAAGCCCAAACCCUACCGGUCGACUCCUGUACUCCACCCGCUGUGAGAGGUGCAGGUGGAAUUCGACGGGGGACGGCAGCAGUCGACUCACCGCGGUGAAGACACCACGGUAAGUCGAUUUAAGUAUGUCAACUUCAGGUACAUUAUUCAUGUAGCUGAAGUUCCAUAACUUAGAUCGAUCCCGCACCCUAGUGUAGACCAGGGCUAUAUGUUAGAGAAAGUCAAUUAGCCACAUGAAAUAGAACUCUUGGUGCAGAUCCCAGGUUACCAAGUGCUACUGUUCUAGAAUACAAACAUUGCAUACAAACAUUUCUGAUGUCUGUUUUUUUUU